AAGUCGUAACAAGGUUUCCGUAGGUGAACCUGCGGAAGGAUCAUUCAUAAUAAGUGUUCUACUACACUUUUUAAAUAAGUACUCACCUUGUGUGCAAUGUUUGCUGUCGCGUCGUUCACGCGUCACGACAGCAUAAUACCAACCUUUUAUUGAAAUUUUUUGUCUGAAGCUAUUUUGAAUAAAUAAUUCUAAAUACAACUUUCAACAACGGAUCUCUUGGCUCUCGCAUCGAUGAAGAACGCAGCGAAAUGCGAUACGUAAUGUGAAUUGCAGAAUUCAGUGAAUCAUCGAAUCUUUGAACGCACAUUGCACUCUCUGGUAUUCCGGAGAGUAUGCUUGUUUGAGUAUCUGUAAACAUCUCAAAUCUCCUAACGCUUGCGUUUGAGAGAAUUGGAUUUGAGCGAUCCCGACUCCUUCGUCAGAAAGAGGAGGGUCGCUUGAAAUGCAGGUGCAGCUGGACAUUCUUCUGAGCUAAAAGCAUAUCUAUUUAGUCCCGUCAAACGGAUUAUUACUUUUGCUUCAGCUAAUAUAAAGGUCGAAUGAACUACCAACGCUGAUUGCAGGAAAACUCGUUUGUAACAGAACUUGUAAACUCGAUCUCAAAUCAAGUAAGACUACCCGCUGAACUUA
rnacentral:rRNA from 1 species